CGCACUGAUGGCUGUUGGUGGCCAGCCUUCUCAUGUCUCUGGGAGCUCACCAUCCUGGAGUUUUCAAGGCGCCUUCAGGAAGCGGGGUCUCAGAGUGCGAGGCCUAGGACACUGUGGUCCUAGGGCGCAGCAGGGAAGGAAAUCACUUCCUGGCAGGCCUGUCUGCAGGGGUGCUCCACCAGCCUGGCUGCGGGAAGACAGCGAGCAAACACAAACCAGACACCCGUCUGAUGCCAACAGCUGGGCAGGCGCCCACGCCUGCUUCCCUCCUGUCCCCACAAAGGGCUCUUGUGUCCCCCUGGCUGGGCCGGUGUCGCAGCUUUCUGGUACAGCGUCGUCUCAGCUGCCUGUGGCCCCCGUGGGCCGGCCAGGCAGGACUGGGGGGUGGGCAUCGUGGACAGAGCUGUAUCAUCGCCCUGGUGGCUGCAGACGGUUUCCUCCCUGGAAGCUGAGGAGUGGCGAAGAGACUGGCGAUCACGCCCUGGAGGCUGCCAACUGGACGCCCACGUUUCUUCGAGGGUCCUGGUGAGGAUGACACCCCACGGUCCUGGAGCUUCCAGUUCCAGAACAGUCAUCCGUGUACCUCUUCAACUCCCCCGCCGCCUGAACACCCCAGACAGACCCGCCGCGCCGUGUUCUGAGCCCUGGUGUGCCUGGGAAUCUCCGUGGACUUCAGCCCAGCCUCAGAAAUGAGGCUGGAAAGGUCUGAGGAGAGGGUGGAGGGAAGGAACCUUCUAGAAGGAAGAGCCGACUGCAGAACACCCGGACAGAACGCAAGCUGAUGACAGCUGGGCAGGGCAAGUGGUGGGCCACGCUGGCUCGGAUGCCAGGUGGGAAGCACGUCUGCUGCCAACACUGCAUUCACGUCCACACAGAGGCCAUUGUCAGGGAAGUGGAGAAGCACCAAGGAAGGACACAGAGGGAGCUGGCUCAGGUACAGCGUCCCAGUGGCUAUUCUGGGGUUGGGAAGCCAUGUGAGCAGCCAGCAGUGGGCAGUGUCCCAAGAGGGAGUGAACUGUCCACGGGGCCCCAGGCCCUUGGUGACCGGGUGUCGAGGAGUGCUCACACAAGGACGAAGACUGCAUGACCAGGGCUCCCCCGGGGGCAGGCUUUCUGUGCGGGCCCAGGAUUGGCAGAGAAGGGCCAGCCUGGAGCCACAUGAAGCUCCUCCUGUGGCCACUCUGGUCCCUGAAAGGACCUUCUGCAGAGGUGAGAGCGCUGGAGGCCAAGAGCAGAGCCACCCCAGGGCACAGGCAGGCAGGCGCUGGGACUGCACAUGGUCAUUCUCCAUCUCAGCAUCUUCACGAGGGCCACUGACCACCCCACAUUCUUCCCAGAAUCCAGGCCCAUGACAGAGGCGGUGGUCCUCAGGCUCCGCAUGCUCAGAACUUCCCUCGGUGCUGGAGGACGUGCAGCCCCAGGGGCCAGGUCAGUGGGCCAGGGGCCCCUCCGAGUGCCCGGACUGCAUGACGUCAGCGCCUCUGACCCUGAAGGCAAGCGUCAGGCCUUUAUAAAGUAGGAAACAACUUUGGGAAAGUGAAGAAAUGUGCCCAAGGCCUCACAGCCAGUGACCGAGAGCCUGGAACCUGGGCCCAGCUCCAGAGCCGUCCUCUGUGGAUGCUGCUACCAACCUCCUCAGGAUGUCAGCACAGACAUCUGGCCCGGGGCUUUUAAGGACGAUGACGUAGGAAAAGUUUCCUAAAAAUGCAUUUUGUUUUCACAAGCUUUGCUCUGGAGCAAAGAUGGAAAACUUCGAGAGAUGUCAGGAAGUUUUGCACACGGAAUUCACACACCUGGAGCAGACCCCGGGGACCACUCUCGGGUCUGCUCUGCGCCCCAGCAUUCAGCUUGUGUAAGACGAAACGCACGUUUUCUCUCACAAAGCAAACAGCGCAGCACAGCGUGGGCCUCCCUGCCUGAGAGCUCGAACGAUACGUGGGAGCCCAAGGAAAGGCUAGUGGAACUCCGCCCGAGCUCAGUGACAGGCCACCGUGGGACCAGAUCCGCCUCCCUCCGGGUGUCAUGGAGCAAGCUGAGCCACCCCCGGGGCAGCCAGCAGUCUCAGGCACUGGGAGCCCAGCUGAGGUCAGGCCCGUGUUUCAGUUGGAACAGGCGGGCUUCCUGGAAGCCAGUAGGAACCCAACUCUCACCGAGCCUCCCGGACCCCCGGACUCAGGAGCAAAGCCCUGGGCCGAGACAAACCCCCUGACAUAGGUCUCAGUGACAGCCAGAGGCCAGAGCAGCUGGCAGCAAAGCAGAGGCUGCUGGGGGACAGCUGGGCAGUGCAGUGCCAGAGCUCCCGCACCCGAGGCCGAGCCGCCAUGCCACCUGAGGAGUGUGGCUCCCCUGUGUGGACCAGGGGCUGCCCCCUGUGCUCUGCCGCAGGUGCCCGGGCCAAGCCUGGCACUGGGGCUCCGUGUGUGGGGCCCUCGGCCUAGCUCACCUGUCCUCAGCGAUUAGAAAGCCGGUGGCUCAUGCACCUGGAGGCCAUCACCUGAGGUUCUGCGGCUUCUUGUUCUGUGUGGCAGCCACCGUGUCCCGGGCCGUCCCCACGGGUUGGCUGAGCCUCAGGCUCAGGUGGCAAUGUGGCUGGAGCAGCACAUAGCUCCUCAGCGGCCAGCACAUUGUCCAGUGAAAGCGAGAGACCACCGUCCCAGCUGGUUCCUUAGACUCAACCCAACAGGACCCUCGAGCUGGGUCCCAUCCCUGAGCCAGUGACUGGGGCAAAGGGACCAGAUGAGCUGAGGAGCUCCAGCCACCAUGGGCCCAGCCUUGGGGCAGAACUUGGACAAAACUAGGGUUCUGUUAGAGAGGACGAAGGGGCUCGGAAGCUGGGCAGGAAACCCACACAGCCCACCACAUGAAGGGGGGUCUAAGACCAUGUGACCUCUGGAGGACCCGUGCCUGGGGCCUGGCCGUGCUCUUCUGAUGGGGCCCACCGUCGGGCAGGACACAUUCCAUGCGGAGUCUGGGGAACGUCCAGAAUGGCCGUGUGGACCAAGUCAAGUAGAAAGGAGCCUUGUGAUGAGGACGUGAGCCGUUGUCCUUGCACAGCAGGAGGGGUGACCGCUGCGUAGACACUGACUGCGUAAAAAAUCCCUGCUGGGGGUAGCCCAAGGGUAGGACCCCCUUAAAUCUCUCGGGGGGAAUAAAAAAUAGCAGAAAAGUGAAUAGGGUUGGGCAGAGCUAUUAGAAGCCCAAGAAAAGGGACAGUCCCCAAAUGUCUGCCCUGCGUCAACAAUACACCCAUGAGGAAAGUGCCCACACCUCCACUGCCACCAGGAUCCUUGGAGGUGAUGUCGAAGGCCUCAAUCCCGAGACAUGUGCGGGCUCCUGAAGACAGCGAUGGGGUGGCUGAUUUUCCUUUUCUUUGUCCGCGUGGUUUGCAUUUGUGUCCGUGUGAAGCAGCCCCAGGGUGAGGGGACGCUCGUUGCUCUCUUAUUCCAGGGUCAGGCGGCUCCCCGCUCUGCAGGCAUUGUCCUCAGUGGGUCAGAGGGUCCAGCCAUCGGUGCACAUUUGUCUUCCGCCUUGAGUCUGUCUGCCCAUCUGUCCUUCACGAGGCAUCAGGCUAACGAGAACCCCUGAGGGCCUUUCCUGAGCGCCGGGCCCAGACGGUGGUGCCGCCAUCACGUGUACGGGGUCUGUCCCACAGACGCCACCAGUCAGGAAAGUUACAGGACUGGUCAAAGUUUUGGAAAGAUAAGGGCAAAAGCAUCACUAUAUCUGACAUAUAAGGAAAACCAAAGAGAAUCAACAAAAGACUGUUAUAAUAAGGUUUUUAAAAGGUGACCCGUUACAAAAUAUACAAAAAUGAGCUUUUUAUUAAAAAACUUGAAAACAUGGUCUUAAAUGGGAAAACUACUUAAAGAUAUAAAUUCUCCUGAUAUUAAUCUAUCAAUUAGACAAAAUUCCAGUUUCCAAAGAAUCUUUCUUUAAUCUGGGGAUGGGAGAGUGCCCAGACUUGACAAGAAUAAUACCAAAGCUCAUACAUCUGAGAAGUGGCUUUUUUUUUUUGAGGAAGAUUAGCCCUGAGCUAACAUCUGCAGCCAAUCCUCCUCUUUUUGCUGAGGAAGACUGGCCCUGAGCUAACAUCUCUGUC